AGAGUUUGAUCCUGGCUCAGGAUGAACGCUAGCUACAGGCUUAACACAUGCAAGUCGAGGGGAAACGAUAUUGGAAGCUUGCUUCCGAUAGGCGUCGACCGGCGUACGGGUGAGUAACGCGUAUCCAACCUGCCCACCACUUGGGGAUAACCUUGCGAAAGAAAGAUUAAUACCGGAUGGCAUAGUUUUCCCGCAUGGGAUGAUUAUUAAAGAAUUUCGGUUGUCGAUGGGGAUGCGUUCCAUUAGGCAGUUGGCGGGGUAACGGCCCACCAAACCAACGAUGGAUAGGGGUUCUGAGAGGAAGGUCCCCCACAUUGGAACUGAGACACGGUCCAAACUCCUACGGGAGGCAGCA
rnacentral:rRNA from 1 species